rnacentral:lncRNA from 1 species
UAUGCCUAAGUGUCAUGCGGCAAGAUGCCGGAAGAGGGUGAUUGGUCGGCUGGAAGGUGCAUAGUCAAGAAGGUUGAGAGCAAGAACGAGGGUGACGACAGGUGUCGGUGAUGAUCUCCACCCAACAUCAGAUAAGAGAGACUUGCAAAGGAAGUCCCACUGAAGGUUGCUUCGAUGAGGAUCUUUCGAUGCUCAAGUCAACAAAAUAGCUCAAUAG